rnacentral:rRNA from 1 species
UGAGUAACACGUAUGGAACCUGCCCUAUGCAGGGGGAUAAGCGGAAGAAAUUCCGUCUAAUACCGCAUAACACCAUUUGGAGACAUCUCCAGGUGGUCAAAGGAGGCGCUCCGGCAUAGGAUGGCCAUGCGUCGCAUUAGCUAGUCGGCGGGGUAACGGCCCACCGAGGCGACGAUGCGUAGGGGUUCUGAGAGGAAGGUCCCCCACACUGGUACUGAGACACGGACCAGACUCCUACGGAAGGCAGCAG